rnacentral:sRNA from 1 species
GCUGGACAUCGUGGCGGGUGCCUGUAAUCCCAGCUACUUGGAGGCUGAGGCAGGAGAAUCGCUUGAACCCAGGAGGUGGAGGUUGCAGUGAGCCGAGGUUGCACCAUUGCACUCCAGCCUGGGCGACAAGAGUGAAACUCUGUCUCAAAAAAAAAGAAAAAAUUUUUUUUAGAGACAGGGUCUUACUCUUGUCGCCCAGGCAGGAGUGCAAUGGUGUGAUCACAACUCACUGUAGCCUUGACCUGGGCUCAAGUGAUCCUCCCACCU